AUAAAGAAAACCCGCGAGUGGAGAUCGGAUUGGAUCGAUCAAUUUUUUUUUUUUUUUUCUUUGUUCUUCUGUUUGCUAUAUUGUUUCUUUUUGUUCGUCUGUUCGUAUCGAUCUUCGUCGUUCUUGUGGAUUAUUUACUUUGUGGAGCGUUGCGACGGUCACCGUCAUCACGGCACUGUUUGAUUUGUCUUUCAGAAGCUUUUGAUUACGUGUUGUCGGCACUGUAACCGACGUCCUGCAUGGAGGAGAGAGAAUCGAGUUUUGUUUUUUGUUUCUUUUAACCGCUUAUUUAUUUCAUACACAAUCCAAAAACCCUAAAUAAUUUUCAGUACCUUCAGAAAAUGUCUGUUCCUCCAUGAAAUGGUGUGUUGUUGAUUUGAAUUUUGAGCGGCUUUGUUGUUUUUGAUACUCUGGAUCUGGCUCGCCUUCGUCUUCUUCGUGCUGUUGGAUCUUUAUCUCGUCUCUCUAUGCGGUUUCUCUGUCUUUUUUUUUUUUUUUGUCUUCGUUACACAUGUGAAAGAUUCUUCACUGAAAAUUAUUUGUUUAUCGUUCUUGAUAGUGUUUUUAUCUUCGAUUCAUUGUGGCUUGGUCUUGGAAUUUGACAGAAGAGAGUGAGCACCCAGAGGCACUUGGUAUAAAGUGUAUGCUAAGGCUUUUGCGUGCUCACUACUCUCUCUGUCAGAUUCGAACGAUGGAUCGAAAUUCUUCAUAUUCUGUAGCGCAAUGUUAUCGGACUCAGAAUUAUAUGUUACUUUCAUCUGAUGAAUCGUAUUUGCAGUUCUCUAGAGCGUGGCUUUUUAAUGGUGCUAACUGACCGGAAUCGUUGGCACAGUCAUGAAUUUACCGUACAACGGGACCUCUCUCAAGCUAGAUAGGCUGGUCCUCUUCCUAUCGGUACCAAAGAGGAGUGUGAGCCCAUAUGCUUUCCAGGCUCCAGAAUGUCUUGUGGCUGUGAAGAAGGUAAAGCGGGUUCUGGAUGUGAUUAAGGUAGAGCAAUUCCUUUAAAAGAUGUUGAUUUUAUUGAAACGGUUAGAUUUCUUGUCUUUAGAGAAGAAAUAGGACUUCUUUGUUUGGCCGAUUCAUUCGACUUUUGCUGCUAUGAGCUGGUAAGAUGUCUUGGGUUGACUACAAGGUGGGAGGGUAGCCCGAAAGUUGUGAAACAAAACUUGGAGUUGGGUUUUGUUUUAUUUGAGGACAAUUAAUUUCUUGGUCUUUGUUUUAGGUUUGUCCCUAAAAACGUGGAAUAAUUAGAUGGUGAUGUCAGGCUAUGCUUCAUUUGCUGAUAUCACUCUUUUAAAGUCUUUUUCUUUUCUUUUUCUUAGUCUUUUUUUUUUUUUUAAUUAUUCAUUGUUCUUCUUUCUUACACGUUUAUGAACUUAGGUCGAGAAUAUUUGACUUUUAUAAUUGAUACUAGUGAUGUAAAUUGUAAAAGUCGAGCUGUGUUGGAUUGGAUUGAGUUCUGAACUCUAUUUAGGUUGCUCAAGUCACUAAUUGGCCUCUCUGUAUGGUGCAUGUUUGGACGCCAUCUUUGAGCAUGCCUAAGUGUUAGUGAUACCAUUGGCAUCUGACCCCAUCUCACGUUCUCACGUUGCAUGUUUGGACGCUCUCACAAGGAUCAUGUUGAACACAAAAGGCACUUGACCUGGUUGCAUUGUGCAUGCUCUACUACCGCACCACCCACUAUCCAUGGGUAAGCCCAUGGAUAAGAGGCAGCACUGCUAUAUGCCGUGCUCAAUAAGGUUCAUAUUGUACACCCAACCCCGUGCUCAAUAAGGUUCAUGUCGCACACCCAACGCACUCGAUCCAAUUCUAUUGUAUGACAUUUCUUUGCUGCACAACCCAACAUCCUCUGCCCAUAAAUAGCAUAAUAUGGUAUGCAUUUUUAAACAAUAGAAUGAAAGCAGGGAGAAAUAACUCUUGGGUGAAA